rnacentral:rRNA from 1 species
GACGAACGCUGGCGGCGUGCUUAACACAUGCAAGUCGAACGGAAAGGCCCUGCUUUUGUGGGGUGCUCGAGUGGCGAACGGGUGAGUAACACGUGAGUAACCUGCCCUUGACUUUGGGAUAACUUCAGGAAACUGGGGCUAAUACCGGAUAGGAGCUCCUGCUGCAUGGUGGGGGUUGGAAAGUUUCGGCGGUUGGGGAUGGACUCGCGGCUUAUCAGCUUGUUGGUGGGGUAGUGGUUUACCAAGGCUUUGAGGGGUAGCCGGCCUGAGAGGGUGACCGGCCACAUUGGGACUGAGAUACGGCCCAGACUCCUACGGGAGGCAGCAGUGGGGAAUAUUGCACAAUGGGCGGAAGCCUGAUGCAGCAACGCCGCGUGCGGGAUGACGGCCUUCGGGUUGUAAACCGCUUUCGCCUGUGACGAAGCGUGAGUGACGGUAAUGGGUAAAGAAGCACCGGCUAACUACGUG